GAUGAACGCUGGCGGCGUGCCUAAUACAUGCAAGUCGAGCGAACGGACGAGAAGCUUGCUUCUCUGAUGUUAGCGGCGGACGGGUGAGUAACACGUGGAUAACCUACCUAUAAGACUGGGAUAACUUCGGGAAACCGGAGCUAAUACCGGAUAAUAUUUUGAACCGCAUGGUUCAAAAGUGAAAGACGGUCUUGCUGUCACUUAUAGAUGGAUCCGCGCUGCAUUAGCUAGUUGGUAAGGUAACGGCUUACCAAGGCAACGAUGCAUAGCCGACCUGAGAGGGUGAUCGGCCACACUGGAACUGAGACACGGUCCAGACUCCUACGGGAGGCAGCAGUAGGGAAUCUUCCGCAAUGGGCGAAAGCCUGACGGAGCAACGCCGCGUGAGUGAUGAAGGUCUUCGGAUCGUAAAACUCUGUUAUUAGGGAAGAACAUAUGUGUAAGUAACUGUGCACAUCUUGACGGUACCUAAUCAGAAAGCCACGGCUAACUACGUGCCAGCAGCCGCGGUAAUACGUAGGUGGCAAGCGUUAUCCGGAAUUAUUGGGCGUAAAGCGCGCGUAGGCGGUUUUUUAAGUCUGAUGUGAAAGCCCACGGCUCAACCGUGGAGGGUCAUUGGAAACUGGAAAACUUGAGUGCAGAAGAGGAAAGUGGAAUUCCAUGUGUAGCGGUGAAAUGCGCAGAGAUAUGGAGGAACACCAGUGGCGAAGGCGACUUUCUGGUCUGUAACUGACGCUGAUGUGCGAAAGCGUGGGGAUCAAACAGGAUUAGAUACCCUGGUAGUCCACGCCGUAAACGAUGAGUGCUAAGUGUUAGGGGGUUUCCGCCCCUUAGUGCUGCAGCUAACGCAUUAAGCACUCCGCCUGGGGAGUACGACCGCAAGGUUGAAACUCAAAGGAAUUGACGGGGACCCGCACAAGCGGUGGAGCAUGUGGUUUAAUUCGAAGCAACGCGAAGAACCUUACCAAAUCUUGACAUCCUUUGACAACUCUAGAGAUAGAGCUUUCCCCUUCGGGGGACAAAGUGACAGGUGGUGCAUGGUUGUCGUCAGCUCGUGUCGUGAGAUGUUGGGUUAAGUCCCGCAACGAGCGCAACCCUUAAGCUUAGUUGCCAUCAUUAAGUUGGGCACUCUAAGUUGACUGCCGGUGACAAACCGGAGGAAGGUGGGGAUGACGUCAAAUCAUCAUGCCCCUUAUGAUUUGGGCUACACACGUGCUACAAUGGACAAUACAAAGGGCAGCGAAACCGCGAGGUCAAGCAAAUCCCAUAAAGUUGUUCUCAGUUCGGAUUGUAGUCUGCAACUCGACUACACGAAGCUGGAAUCGCUAGUAAUCGUAGAUCAGCAUGCUACGGUGAAUACGUUCCCGGGUCU
rnacentral:rRNA from 1 species